GAAAUGCGAUAAGUAAUGUGAAUUGCAGAAUUCAGUGAAUCAUCGAAUCUUUGAACGCACAUUGCGCCCCCUGGUAUUCCGGGGGGCAUGCCUGUUCGAGCGUCAUUUCACCACUCAAGCCUCGCUUGGUAUUGGGCGACGCGGUCCGCCGCGCGCCUCAAAUCGACCGGCUGGGUCUUUCGUCCCCUCAGCGUUGUGGAAACUAUUCGCUAAAGGGUGGCGCGGGAGGCCACGCCGUAAAACAACCCCAUUUCUAAGGUUGACCUCGGAUCAGGUAGGGAUACCCGCUGAACUUAAGC
rnacentral:misc_RNA from 1 species